rnacentral:rRNA from 1 species
CCUACGUGAGGCAGCAGUGAGGAAUAUUGGUCAAUGGCCGUAAGGCUGAACCAGCCAAGUAGCGUGAAGGAAGACUGCCCUAUGGGUUGUAAACCUCUUUUAUGCGGGGAUACAGGUGUCCACGUGUGGAUGUUUGCAGGUACCGCCUGAAUAAGGACCGGCUAAUUCCGUGCCCGCAGCCGCGGUAAUACGGGAGGUCCGGGCGUUAUCCGGAUGUAUUGGGUUUAAGGGGAGCGUAGGCCGGUCUUUAAGCUUGCCGUGAAAUAUUGUGGUUCAACAAUGAUAGUGCGGCGCGAACUGGAGACCUUGAGUGCGCGGAAGGCAGGCGGAAUUCGUGGUGUAGCGGUGAAAUGCUUAGAGAUCACGAAGAACCCCGAUUGCGAAGGCAGCCUGCCGCAGCGUUACUGACGCUGAAGCUCGAAAGCGCGGGUAUCGAACAGGAUUAGAUACCCCGAGUAGUC